rnacentral:rRNA from 1 species
CUUGAUUAGUGGCGCACGGGUGAGUAAUGCAUAGAUAAUGUGCCCCUUAGUUCGGGAUAGCCACUGGAAACGGUGAUUAAUACCGGAUACUCCUUCUUGUUAUAAGACAAGUCGGGAAAGUUUUUCGCUAAGGGAUCAGUCUAUGUUCCAUCAGCUUGUUGGUGAGGUAAUGGCUCACCAAGGCUAUGACAGAUAUCUGGUUUGAGAGGAUGAUCAGACACACUGGAACUGAGACACGGUCCAGACUCCUACGGGAGGCAGCAGUGAGGAAUAUUGCACAAUGGAGGAAACUCUGAUGCAGCAACGCCGCGUGGAGGAUGACGCAUUUCGGUGUGUAAACUCCUUUUAUUAGGGAAGAUAAUGACGGUACCUAAUGAAUAAGCACCGGCUAACUCCGUGCCAGCAGCCGCGGUAAUACGGAGGGUGCAAGCGUUACUCGGAAUCACUGGGCGUAAAGGGUGCGUAGGCUGGCUUUUAAGUCAGAUGUGAAAUCCAAUGGCUCAACCAUUGAACUGCAUUUGAAACUGAAAGCCUAGAGUUCAGAAGGGGCAGAUGGAAUUAGUGGUGUAGGGGUAAAAUCCGUAGAUAUCACUAGGAAUAUCAAAAGCGAAGGCGAUCUGCUGGGAUGAUACUGACG